rnacentral:rRNA from 1 species
UACGAAGGGUCCAAGCGUUGUUCGGAGUUAUUGGGCGUAAAGCGGGUGUAGGCGGUUUCGUAAGUCAGGAGUGAAAGCCCUCAGCUCAACCGAGGAAGUGCUUUUGAAACUGUGAAACUUGAGUAUUGGAGAGGAUAGUAGAAUUCCUGGUGUAGUGGUGAAAUACGUAGAUAUCAGGAGGAAUACCGGUGGCGAAGGCGGCUAUCUGGCCAAAUACUGACGCUGAGACCCGAAAGCGUGGGGAGCAAACUGG